GUUUACACCCACCAUAAUAGGGGAAAAGAAGAAGACUUGCGGGUUGCCAAUGGCUGGCUCUGCCUCUGACGGCAGCCAUUGCGAUACUUGAAACAAUCAACUAUACACUUUAUUUUUUCUUGUAUAAGUAGCUGGAUAGCGGUUCAUCGCAAUCGUCGACCACCGAUUGUUAAACUGCAUUUUCCUCACACACAUCAUUAUCUCGUUCCCAAUGUUCAUCUGAGAGUAGCGCUGUUGUUCACAAGGCCUCGGAUAGCCACAGACUAAAUUAGCAAACAAGACAAACGCAACAUUAUACCAGACAGGAACGCGGAUCCAAAGGCGCAGGGCUGUGGUACUGGACCACAGCACCGAGGGGCGCUCAGCCGUCCCAUGAUGGUGUGCGAGCUCUUCCUGCUGACCUCCAUCUGGUUUCUCUUCGUCAUCUUCUGGAUGGAGACCAUAAGCGUGUGGCUCUUCCUCUGCAAUUUCUACCAGGACCGAGCUUUUUAUCACUGGGGAGAUGGAGUCUUUGCGGAUGAUCCAGGUCACAUGCUGUACAUGCUGGGCAGAGUGGAUGGGUCGGGGCAGAUGCACACCUGAUUCAGGAGGAGCAGAGAGGUGGGCAGUGGCCCUGGCCCUGCAUCAGGUGCAGAUGUGAGCAUGGGAGCUCACUGCCGCACAUGGACUCUCAGGUCAUCCUCUGUGUGGGACAGCCUGGAUGUACGGAACAGGACUGCAGGGCUGUGCACACUGCCUGCCCAUACCUGCACAGCCCUACCCAUGUUUGAACCAGCUCACUCCUCCUGUCCGACUGCCAGCUGAGUAAUGCCUGCAAGAAAGCUAUGCGUCAGGAGUGGCAAAGGAGGAAUUAGACUUCGUAUACUAGCAUUAAAGAAGAAAGGGAAAUGUUAAUUUUGUGUGGAUUUUGGAGUUCUUAAUAUCAGUUCUUAUAAUCAAGUACUGUUGUCAACAGAGCAGGGUGUUUUUCAGCAAAAAAAGCUGUUUUUUUUUAAACUGUCGUCAGUCAUGCACUAUUAGUUGGUCUUAAGUAGUAUUGCUGCCUAAAUAUUGCAUACAUUUUUCUGUUGCUCAGCUUAGUUCAGCAUGUGUGUGAGAGUGCAUUACCCUGCUCUAACUGAUGGGAAGGUAUAUAACCUAGCGUUUCUUAAACCUUUUCUGUCAUACCAAUGUGGAGUACCAUUGUGAAAGAUAACAAUGCUGUACUAACUCUUAAGUUGGGUUCAAGCUUAAUUAAUCCUGAGCUUUGUUUUAGAAAAUGAGCUGAGAUCUGCAGGAUGUAGUUUGCCCCCAUGCCGCUGAAACCAGAAUUGGGGAGAAACCGGUUUGAUGCCUGACCACUUUGAUGCUGCAUUUUUCCUGGCUGGUUCCAGGUAUUUCAGUGCACAGGCUGAUUUAACUGGGCAAAAACACGCAUUUACCUGGGCCUGGAAAAAACGAGACCGAUUAGAUUAAUGAGGUUAAUGUAGACCUGGAACAGCCAGCGCACCUUACUGCUUCCAUUGGGGCUGUUCAUGGAAGUUGUCAGUGAGAGUGUGAAAGUCUUAGCCCAUCACUGGGAGGUUAGCUGCCACUUUGCAGUUUCUACGGUGGUUGACUAGCUUAGAAACUAGCACACAGUAGAAACUAGAAGUGAUGCAUGUCUUGUGCAAGUUUUCUUUUCCUGGUAGGUCUGUCUUGGUUUGUUACAGUGUAUGGCCCAUAUUUUCUGAUGUAUACUGUGAGGAAAGAAGUAGGUUGUCUCUAUAUGAAAAUAUGCAGCAAAUUUUAAAACUAAGCAGAAGAGUGGUUUGAAGAUUUAAUAUUUUUCUUUCAGACUGAGAUUUUGAAACAUUUUCAGACUUAUUUACCCCAAAGAAUGAAAAAGUUGCCUAGACAGUGUAAAUGUGCAAAUAAUUCAGUGCAUGAAUACAUUUUUGUCAGUAGCACAUAUCCCUUUCUUUGAUAUUGCACAAUGUUGGGGCUGUAUGGUCAUUGUGAAAAUGAUCUUGUAACUGUUGCGUCAGCUUUCUCCUUGCAGGCCGUUGGUUCUUUGCCCUGGUUCUGACUCACUUUCAUUGUCCCUGUUCUCUAUUUUGCACAGAAUUUGUUCUUUGUGAUUGAAAGUCUUAAUUUAUUUUGUUAUUUUGUAGGAAAACUAUUAAAGUAGAUCAGCAAUCUGUGCACAAGUACAUACUUGGCACAAUAAAGUUACUAAAAACACAUUCAUACUAAAUAAAAUUAAAGGCUAAAUAUCUGUGAUCAGAUCUUUUCAGAUUUUCUUGCUACAUAGUCUUGUUAUUGUAACCGAAUCAAAAUAAAAGUUGAUUUUCAUUAA